GGAGUCGGGCAGGUCAUCGCCGCGGUCCAACGACCGGGGAGGAAAGUCCGGGCUCCACAGGGCAGGACGCUGGGUAACGCCCAGGGGGAGCGAUCCCCGUCAAGUGCAACAGAAAGCAGACCGCCUCCGGGAUUUCCCGGCGGUAAGGGUGAAACGGUGGGGUAAGAGCCCACCGGCUGUCGCGGCGACGCGGCAGGCCAGGUGAACUCCGUCCGGAGCAAGACCGAAUAGGACAGCGUUUGAGGCCGGCCCGGCCGAGCUGUCGGGUUGGUUGCUCGAGCCGUCCGGUAACGGCCGGCCUAGAUGAAUGAUGACCACCCCGCAAGGGGAACAAAACCCGGCUUAUGACCGGCUCCGACU
rnacentral:RNase_P_RNA from 2 species